rnacentral:rRNA from 1 species
UACAGAGGUCUCAAGCGUUGUUCGGAUUCACUGGGGUUAAAGGGUGCGUAGGCGGCCAGGUAAGUCAGUGGUGAAAUCUCUGGGCUUAACUCAGAAACUGCCGUUGAUACUAUUUGUCUUGAAUGUCAUGGAGGUAAGCGGAAUAUGUCAUGUAGCGGUGAAAUGCUUAGAUAUGACAUAGAACACCGAUAGCGAAGGCAGCUUACUACAUGAAGAUUGACGCUGAGGCACGAAAGCGUGGGGAGCAAACAGG